rnacentral:rRNA from 1 species
UGGGGAAUUUUGCGCAAUGGGGGAAACCCUGACGCAGCAACGCCGCGUGGAGGAUGAAAUCCCUUGGGAUGUAAACUCCUUUCGAUAGGGAAGAUUAUGACGGUACCUAUAGAAGAAGCCCCGGCUAACUUCGUGCCAGCAGCCGCGGUAAUACGAGGGGGGCAAGCGUUGUUCGGAAUUAUUGGGCGUAAAGGGCGCGUAGGCGGUUUGGCAAGUCUUAUGUGAAAUCUUCGGGCUCAACCCGAAGCCUGCAUGAGAAACUGCCGGGCUUGAGUAUGGGAGAGGUGAGUGGAAUUUCCGGUGUAGCGGUGAAAUGCGUAGAUAUCGGAAGGAACACCUGUGGCGAAAGCGGCUCACUGGACCAUAACUGACGCUGAGGCGCGAAAGCUAGGGGAGCAAACAGGAUUAGAUACCCGUGUAGUCC